AAGACUAUAGACCUGCGGAGUACCUGCGGAGGGAUCAUUACAGAGUUGCAAAACUCCCAAACCAUUGUGAACGUUACCUUCUCGUUGCUUCGGCGGGCGGCCCGGGUCCUUCCCGGCGCCCCCCGGCCCCUCGCGGGCGCCCGCCGGAGGUAAACCAAACUCUUGAAUUGUAUGGCCUCUCUGAGUCUUCUGUACUGAAUAAGUCAAAACUUUUAACAACGGAUCUCUAGAUCGGAAGAG
rnacentral:misc_RNA from 1 species